rnacentral:tmRNA from 1 species
GGGGAUGACGGUUUUUGACAGGUCUUUGAAAUUUUUUAAUAUGCAAGCCGAGCCAGUCUGUAGUCUCGUUAAUCCUAUGGACAUCAACAAAUGCAGUUGAAUCUUCUUGGAACAAAGUAGUUGCAGCCUUCCAGGCCGCUGACUUAGUUCCUGUUGCUGCUUAAUUUAGCGGUAACACAUGAGCCAAAGUUUGUCCUAACUUUGGGUCCUCAUGUUUAUUUUGGACUGCGUCUUAAAAACAGUUUGCGUUUUAAGACUAAGGCAUCGCAAACAAACUUUAACGGAGUUUCGUUAGCUCUCAUUCGUUAAAGUAACCCUAAGCUAGCUAAGCUUGUGAAUAAUUGAAAAAUGGACAAGUUCUGGACCCGGGUUUAACUCCCGGCAUCUCCACCA